GACGUAGGAUGCGAGCGUUGUCCGGAUUUAUUGGGCGUAAAGAGUUCGUAGGUGGCUUGUCAAGUUUGAUGUUAAUGAUCGGGGCUCAACCCUGGGACUGCAUUGAAUACUGGCAGGCUUGAGUGUGGUAGAGGCUAGUGGAAUUCCCAGUGUAGCGGUGAAAUGCGUAGAUAUUGGGAAGAACACCGGUGGCGUAGGCGACUAGCAGGGCCAUAACUGACACUGAGGAACGAAAGCCAGGGUAGCGAAUGGG
rnacentral:rRNA from 1 species